GCACACUUCCACAACACAGACUAAAAUCAGAACGAGACGCAGAAGAUUAGCAUGGCUGCUGCACAAGGCUGACAUGAAAAUUCGUGAAUUGUUCCAUUGAAAA